rnacentral:misc_RNA from 1 species
UACGGAGGGUGGAAGCGUUGUCCGGCUUUAUUGGGUUUAAAGGGUGCGUAGGCGGGAUAUUAAGUCAGUGGUGAAAGCCGACAGCUCAACUGUCGAACCGCCAUUGAUACUGGUAUUCUUGAGUAUAGUUGAGGCAGGCGGAAUUUACGAUGUAGCGGUGAGAUGCAUAGAUAUCGUAAAGAACACCUAUAGCGAAGGCAGCUUGCUAAACUAUAACCGACGCUGAGGCACGAAAGCGUGGGUAGCAAACAGG